UAACAAUGUUUUGACUUCAGUUUUUCAGGCUAGCCUGACUGAACCUGAGUUUAUUGUGACAAAACAAGUGAAACAAAUAGUACAACAAAAUCCUUUGGAGUUUCACAAGAAUACUGGACACUCACCUCCGGAAGCAGAAACUGCAGGUCUUGAUGAAGAGGAGUACUAGGAGCAGAACGAUGGUGAGGAGGAAGGCCAGGACAUCUAGGCUGUGAUACUGGUACCAGGCAUGGACAGCCCACCGUCCCCGCUACCGUGGAAAAGACCUUGAUAUCGCUGCCUGCUCUGCUAUUGAAUUCAGCCUGAUUGGGCCACAAAAGCUCCGGCGCUGCGUCUCCAGCCAGAAAACGUCACCUCCUCUUUGCCUCUGUCCUCCUCUCUCCAUGGAUCACUGCUGGUCCAGCUCCUCUGGAGGAGAACAUCUGGGCUGCCAAAGGAAGAACUCAGAUCCUCAGUCUUCAUGCCGAACAGCACCAGGGACGAAUAAACCAACACCAUGUUGCUGAAGGCUUCGUUGGAAAAUCUGCCAUCACGCAGACAGACAGAAGCAGUGACGACUGUGGCCCACGGUGACUGGCCUGGAUGGUCGUACUCCACCACCAGAGAGAAACAGCUCCAGGGGAAGUCGGGCCCUACGUGCUGCUCGUACACCACCACACACACACUGUCAUUUAUGCUGGUGGAACAGGAUGGGAGUGAGAAAACAACACUUUGUUCAGCAUAACAUAGCAGCUAAAAAUAUUUCCUUUAACACAUCAAAACAAUCCAUUACACACCAAAACACUUGUUACUUACUCAUACAGUGUGGAGUGAUACGAGGAAUGAGUUGGUUUUUACUUAAUGUUCAUAAAACUCAAACUAAAGAGUACUUUAAACAAGCAUUUGCUGUAUAUACUGUAUUUAAUAAGUGCUAAGUAGGACUGUCAACUGAUUAAAAUAUUUAAUCGCAUGAUUAAUGCUUC